rnacentral:misc_RNA from 1 species
UCAAACUUGGUCAUUUAGAGGAAGUAAAAGUCGUAACAAGGUUUCCGUAGGUGAACCUGCGGAAGGAUCAUUAACAGGAAACGGUGCCCUCGCGGCCCGAUCCUCACACCCCUGUGUACCAAACAAACCGUUGCCUCGGCGGGCUGGCGGCUGGGCUAACGCCCGGACGCCCCUCUUCGACUACCCCCUAGGGGGCGGUCGAGGCAGGCAGCCGCCCGCCAAAGGCCCCUUUAAAAACCAUUCUGUUCCACGAACGUCUGAUAUUAUCUUCGCUAAUGCGAUAAAUACAACUUUUAACAAUGGAUCUCUUGGCUCCGGCAUCGAUGAAGAACGCAGC